GACGAACGCUGGCGGCGUGCCUAACACAUGUAAGUCGCACGGGACUGGAGGGCAACUUCCAGUUCAGUGGCAGACGGGUGCGUAACACGUGAGGAACUUGUCCAACGGCGGGGGAUAGCCGGCCCAACGGCCGGGUAAUACCGCAUACGAUCGUUCGGGGGCAUCCCUGAACGAGGAAAGCAGCCGCAAGGUUGCGCCGAUGGAGAGUCUCGCGGCCUAUCAGCUAGUUGGCGGGGAAUGGCCCACCAAGGCGACGACGGGUAGCUGGUCUGAGAGGAUGGCCAGCCACAUUGGGGCUGAGACACGGCCCAGACUCCUACGGGAGCAGCAGUGGGGAAUCUUGCGCAAUGGCCGCAAGGCUGACGCAGCGACGCCGCGUGUGGGAUGACGGCC
rnacentral:rRNA from 1 species